rnacentral:rRNA from 1 species
CCGCGGGAUUAGAGUUUGAUCCUGGCUCAGAACGAACGCCGGUGGCGUGGAUAAGACAUGCAAGUCGAACGGGACUUGUUCUGUAGCAAUACAGAGCAAGUUCAGUGGCGCAAGGGUGCGUAACACGUGGGCAAUCUGCCGGGAAAUGGGGGAUAGCUCGCCGAAAGGCGAAUUAAUACCGCAUGUGGCUAGCGAAGGAUUCUUCGCGACGCUAAAGUCGGGUACCUAGCAAUAGGCCUGACGUUUCCUGAUGAGCCCGCGGCCUAUCAGCUAGUUGGUAAGGUAACGGCUUACCAAGGCUAUGACGGGUAGCUGGUCUGAGAGGACGACCAGCCACACUGGAACUGAGACACGGUCCAGACACCUACGGGUGGCAGCAGUCGAGAAUUUUUCUCAAUGGGGGAAACCCUGAAGGAGCGACGCCGCGUGAAGGAUGAAGGUCUUCGGAUUGUAAACUUCUGUCAUUAGGGAACAAGUGCCGCCGAGUAACUACCGGCGGCUUGAUAGUACCUGAAGAGGAAGGGACGGCUAACUCUGUGCCAGCAGCCGCGGUAAUACAGAGGUCCCAAGCGUUGUUCGGAUUCAUUGGGCGUAAAGGGUGCGUAGGUGGCGGGGUAAGUUGGAUGUGAAAUCUCGGGGCUCAACCCCGAAACUGCAUUCAAUACUGCUCUGCUUGAGUACUGGAGAGGAGAUCGGAAUUUACGGUGUAGCAGUGAAAUGCGUAGAUAUCGUAAGGAAGACCAGUGGCGAAGGCGGAUCUCUGGACAGUUACUGACACUGAGGCACGAAGGCCAGGGGAGCAAACGGGAUUAGAUACCCCGGUAGUCCUGGCAGUAAACGGUGCACGUUUGGUGUGAGCGGA